GUAGAAUAUGGACAUCUAUCUGUCUAGAUUCCUGGGAAAAUAAGGAAAAGGAAUAACCACUUCAUGCUCAAGAAAAUGAAGUGAUCAGCUAGAGAGGGAAGGAAGCCAGGAAAAAUAUCUGAAGGUGUCAGAGUUGGCAUGAAGACUGAUUCCAGGUUCUCCAUCGACAGAGACAUGAAUAAGAAGGUUCAAGAACUGAAAAUACCUAUCUACAAAUAUCUCCAAAGACACUGAAAUAUGAGAUGACACCUUUUCACAAUCUCCUGUGUGCUGAGUGAAAACAUCUUUGCCUGGAAGGGAGGAAAGUAGAGGUAGACCAUGUAUGAAAUACGGAGACUACAGAGAGAAGCUAAAUCAGAUUCCUCAUUUCCAGGUGUUUGUUUUGCCACACUCUUUUAUGGAGUUUACCAUAAGCUCUGUACACCUUUGCUAACCUGCUGUCUAUUUCUGCAUCAAUCUUACUGUCCGAGGAGAUGAUGCUUCCCAGUCAAGGGAUGCUAAUGAGGCAACUUCACUUUGCACCAUGAUCCUGACACACUGUGUGCCAACACCAGCGAGGAGAUGGACCGACACAGGGACUGAGCUGCCUUUCCUCAGGGCUAAGUAAUUAUUACCAAAACUACUAAAAAAGCACGGAUCUUCCUGCUGAAUAAUGACAGAAGUGAGUUGCAACAGGCAUCAGAUCUAUGCAAUUCCAGUAAUUAGGUAUUUGUGAGUAUUUGCACUGGACUAAUUGCAGAAAGCUAAAACCUGGUGAUCUGAUUGCUGGGGAGGAGAAAGGUUGCUGAGAUGAACUGAAAUCUGGUAAGAUUUUACAGGCAUGGGAACUGCUCCAUCAAAUCAGACCCGUUGCCUGUUUACUUUGAUGAUGGCCAAAACUCUGUGGGUAUCAGAGGCAGGUGCAGUCUGUUCGGCAAUUGGCAGCAAUGCGAUAUGGCAACUUCUUCCUGAGGAAGUCAGUCUUUUAACUGCUCCUCUCAGGACCCAAAAAACAAAGGUUGUCAUGAAAAAAAAAAAUAUAGCUUAUGGGAGUUUCAAUUUCGAACUGGCUAAAACAAAUUUUAAAUGUAACAAAGUUACACUUGAAAUAAAACUCCGGAUUUGAAAAUUAUGUAUAUUUGGCAAGCUCUGGUCCAAACACCCAAAAUGUAAUAAUAUAUGGACAAAAAGCCAAGAAAAACAUGUCUUUUUCUGCCUAUGUGGAUUUGGAUAAAAUUUCUAGAAGGAAAUUAUAAGAGUAAUAACCUCUCCUGAUGACAAUUGCUUAUUCUUGAAGUUCACAGGGGAACUUUCUAGUGAUGGGUCUCAACUUUCUGGUGGUCUCAAACUCCUCAGAGCCUGCUGCUGCCUACUGCAGCUUGCCUCCUCCCUGUGCUGCACCUCUGUGUCUCCUUCUCCCCUGUGCCUUUGAUGCUCUUUCCUGUUGGAAGAGAAAUUGUUUCCCUGUUUUGCUGUGCAGCUUUCUCCUUGUGCCACUGUUGGAGUCAACAAAAUUGUUCCUAUUUAAAAAAAAAUAAGUCUAUUAUAUAGCAGUGACGUAUCCAGCCUGUGCUGCUAACAGAUGAAAUAUCUUCUGACACAGCUAUGUAACGUCACUUUUCACACAUAUUUUCCCUUCAGGCAUUGUGAAAACUGCUUCUAACCUUUGACCCUGUUCUGGGAAGCUCAUGUGUGACCCAGGUAUAAUUAUGGCCUUCACAGCCAUUAGUGCUGGGAUCUGUGUUGGGACACCUGCGAGCUGGAAUGUGUCUCACCUGUUGAAAUAAAUAUUUUAUGGCUGCAUGAAAGGGACUGUGCCUAAUCCUGGAAUUACUGACAUCUGUAUAUCAUUUGAAUGGUAAAUUACAGCUGGGACAUGCUAACCCCAAAGUGUGAGUAAGAACUGCUCCUAAGUGAUUGGAAACUUCUUGGCACUAUAUAGUUGCUUUAUAGUAAUUAGCUUGGUCUUCAUUCUCUUUUGAUAGUUUUGUAAAUUUUGUGCUAUUUUCUUAGCACAAGACUUGAUUGUUCAAUCAGCAGAAGAAUGGUCUUUCUGGUAAAAAUUAGAUUUCAACUAAACCUCAUUUUGUGUUAAUUGCCCUUUCUUAUUGACAGCUUCCUCUCCUGCUCCCCUUCCGCCCCCUCCCAGUAUAAGCAGAGGAAUGAUGGAAACCUGGAAUUAACAUUUCCAUGGAGAUGGUGUAAUUUCCUGAGUUGCUACAAAAUAACUUCAAUUUCAAAACUCUUCUAACUGCUAAUUUGAGGAAACGGGUAAUAAAUAACACAAGUACAUUAAUGGCUAAAAUAUAUUAUCUCAUUUCAGAUAUCUUAGGCCCAGUUGUCUAAUAAUGCAUUCUGUGAUCGCCUAACAAGAGACUGAGCACAAGAAAUACAACAGUGCAACUCCAAAUUUGUGCUAUUUAUGUCUGUUGCCAAUAAAUAAUAUUAGAGGAACUGUUUAUACAUCUGUUAAAAGCUACUCUCCUUGAAAACAAAGAUGAAUAAUGACUUUAUCAUUUGGAAGACGGUGGUAAAACUCUAUAGAGGUUAGAAACUGACUUUAUUUCUCAAAACUGAUGGUUUUCAGGCCUUAUAUCCAUGUCAUGGCUGUCCAAGGAAAAGUAAAAUUAGAGGUGUAUUUACACAAGGUCUGAUAAUUUAAAUAACAAUCUAUUGUUAUAUCUAUAUCUAUGAUUCACAUGCAGCAGUGAAUUUGGUCUUUGACUGCCAUAUUUUGUAUUGUUCAGUUGGUGUAACAGUAAUUAUAAGAUAGUUUUAGUCACCAUUGGAAAUGUGUUUUAAUAAUUCAAUGCUGCUUACUGGGAGCAAGAUAAAAAUAUCAGGACAUGGAGCAGAUGAAUGAGAUUUUCACUGGCUUCAUUAAGACUGUCAAAUGCUUAACUGAGAAAUAUUAAAGAAAUUCAGGAAACUUUUAACAAAUCAUCUUCCUUCUUGGAGAUGCCUAAACUGGAGAGUUACAAGUUUGGAAAGCUUCUGAAAUUUCUCAAGAAAUGAUAUUUUGUAAGUGUAAACUCGAAUUUGAGGAACAGCAGUUAGAAGAAAUAGAAAUGAAAAGCUAUUUUUAGAAGAUGAUGGUUGGAUUUUAUGAUCUUAAAAGGAUUUUUCCAAUCUAGACAAUUCUAUGAUUCUCUAAAAUAAGUCUUGCUGAAAUCUGUAGGAUGUAUUUCCAUAAAGUGCUGGGAGGUUAUAAAGACAAUAGUUGGCUCUAUCUCCAGUGAUACAAGAUUAUAUUAUACACAGGUCAAAAACAUUGUUUCUUCUUCUGCUACUUAUUCUAUUCAGUAUAUAUGUUCUACUUUACUGACCCUCAACUAUUUCUAAGUGGUUUUUAAUAAAUUAUAUUGCAGGAGACAGCUUCAAAUAGUCUUUGACUCCUAACUGAAAAAUCUGUACUGUCUUUAGAAUGGGAGAAAAAAUGUUCUAGAAGUGUGAAUUAUCCGUAUUAUUUCACUAAAUUUGGAUAUUUGGUUCACAGUUCCUCCUUCUUUUUCUUCAGUUCUUUUGUUGAGGUUUUUUUUCCUUAUGCUUCCCAAUAUUGUCUUUUAAGCUCCCAAAUAUAUGUAUCACUUCAGAAUAUGUGUCAUUUAAGGACAGCAGUGAUUUUGCCUCUGCCCAGAAAAAUCAAUUUUACAUGUGCUUAAUUCUCAUAUUAACUAAGUAUUUGUUUAUUCUGUAUAUGCCUGUCUAGAAGGGAGAAGACUUAAAUAAAUUCAGUAGGCCUGAAUACUUUGAUGGAGUCUUGAUUUUAGCAUAGAUCUACAUUAUAAAUGUAUGUAUUUUAUCUUUCUAAAACACACCAGAAAUAACUCUGCUGUUUUCCUAGUACUGGUAAUUAUUCUGUGCUUACUUGCUUUUAAUUUCAACAUUUUUUUGGUCUCUCUGGGAAUGAUCACAAACACCAUCAUUUUACACAACUUCUAUAACUAGGAGUCCCUCCCUUCUAUAUUGUAAGUUUAAAUAUUAAUGGUAAACUGUUUAAAAAUCAGCUUCUGGUUGUUUCUAGGAGGAUCCCUUAGUGACAUAUGGAGUUGUUACGAUUGGUUUGGAUAUAGGAAAAUAGUUUAAUUAGAAUAUUCUUUCUUAAUCUGAGAGAUGAACCUCAGAAUAGUCUUUGAGGACUUCCCAGGAAUUAAAUUUUCAUAGUCAGCAUUCAACUUGAAUUUCCCCUUCCAGGAGACAUUAAAGGAAGCAGUGAACUUAAAAUGCAUAUAAAGUGACCCAGAGCUUAGUAACUUAGCAGGAUAAUUCUGUUCUAAUUUAAAAGAAAACAACAGUCCAACUUCUUCAUCUUCUUGAAGCAGCAACAAAAUUCUAAAUCUAUUAGCAUCCUCAAAUACUCCGAAACUUUAAUGAAAGUUAUAGUAAUGAAUAAGUCAACCAAAUAGCACCAAUUGUGAACGCAAGCCUUAAUAAUGUGAAAGAAAUGGUACAACCAAACCUGAUCACGAGUCAUGCAUCCAUUGGCUCAUUCAUCCUAAAAAAACGCUGGGUUUAAAAUCAAAAAAUAUGGAUAAUGCAAACCAUCAGUGUGGUUUGUUCUGUGGGAGUCUGGCUAUCCCUGCUGCUCCAUUUCCACUGAGGGCCCAGUUUACACUCACUGAAAUUGUGAUUGGAAUGAGUUUCCGUAUAAAAUCUAUCACGACACAGACAUAUACACAUGUAUUUAUGUGUGUGUAUAUACAUCUAUCUCUCUAUAGGAAUGCAAAUAUUUUAAUCUUGAUCACUCAGGUGUGCAGUUCAGCAAGCCUGCCCACACGCUGAAGUUCUGUGUCUUUAUUUGCCAGACAGGGAACCAAAGAUUGAAAGGAGAUGUUAAAAAUUGAAUGGCCUAUGUGAUUUUUGUUUUAUGCCAGACUGGAUCUGAAAAAGCAUCUGUUUUAUAUAAAAUAUUAAGAGGCUAAAUGGCAACAGUGGCCAAGUGUCUGAAAAGCUUGUUUUAUUUCAAAUAGCCAGGAGCGACAUCUUUCCUCCCACUUCUACCCAUUAUUUCAUUUUCAAAACUGGUUCUGAAAAUAAUUAGUGUCAAGGUCCAAAGUGAUAGAAUUUUAUAUCACUGUUGUGUCACCUCAUUUUUUUUAUUACCUUAACAUGAAUUCGAGUAUACAUAUUUUAGUGUAUUACAUAUCAAACAUGAAAAACAGAUAAUGCUACAAUAUUCCAUUUAAAUGGCAAUGUAUUUUAAUUAUUCAUUAUCAGAUUUUAGAAGUAGACAGGUCAUACAUGAUUUGUUACUGCAGCCUGUUAUCAGCUUGAUGAAGAGAAGGUGCAGCACUUUUUUUAAAGUAAUUAUUCUCCUAAUGGAUGUAUUUGUCCUGAAUGAGACAAUUCUUCCUCUGUGUCAAACAUUUUCAGAAUUAUAACUCUUAUCUUAAUUUGAGGGGAAAAAAAAAUUUACAUACCAGAUGAAAAUUCCUUCACUUUCCUUAACAAGUAAGUUUUAUAAGUAGCCUGAUGAAAAAGUCUGUUGGGGAUGUAUCCUCCAAAGAUUGUGCUUAGAAGCCUUUUCUUCAUGAAAAGUGCAGGACAAUCGGAUGGGUUUGUUCAGCUAUAAUUAUACAAUCUAAAGGUUUGUCUGAAAAAGAGUCAUUGACUUCAUAUCUUCAGUUGAUUUAUCUUAACUUUAAAUCUUCCCUUGCAGACGUAGCCCAAGAGUAGAAAUGUGUAUGCAAGAAGUUGCUGUACCUGUGACCACGUACGUAGGAUGCAGCAAAGUCUAAUUUUCCUUUUGUGCUGCUGCAGUCCAGCAUAAUAAGGGAACUCAGAAAUAUUUCAUGAUAUGCUGUGAUGUAAGAACUAUUUUUAUACACUGAAUGGAUUUUAAUGUCUUUGGAAGAAAAGUGCUCUCUCUCUGUCUCUCAUGUACACACAAACUCUGCAUGUUAUCAGAAUAAGGUAGGAAAACAUAUUCAGAUCCUUCUGAAUAUUUAAUGAGGACACGAUACUAACGACUCAAAAAAGCAAAAGAGGCUACAUAGGAAUAUUUUACCAUCCUUCUCUAUCCUGAACAAUAUUUCAACUUAAGUGAACUUGUUCUGUAAAUUUUUUUACGUAGCCUUUCUUGUUUUAAAGUGGGCUGAGCAUGAUUUUGUUCAUGUUGGCAUUAAACGCGUGGCUGAGGGUUUUGCGGGAUUUUUUUAUGGUUUUGUUUUGGGUUUGGGCUUUUGUUUUGGUUUGUUUUUUGUUUAAUCUUGAAAGGCAAGUUUCACUCUGACAACAAAUUACAGUUUGGUAUUUAAUUAAGAGUAAAUUCUUCCACCAUUCAAGACAGAGCUUUUGGGGACUUUUUUUGUUUGGUUGGUUGGUUGGUUAAUUGUUGUUGUUUUGGUUGGUUGGGUUUGGGUUUGUUGGGUUUUUUUGUUUGUUUGUUUGGGGUUUUGUUUUAUUGUUUGGGGUUGGUUUUUGUUUUGUUUCAUUUUGUUUUCAUUGGGUAAUGAUACUUCAGUAUUUUCUGAAAAUAGUGCUGCUCUGUAGCCUGGAUCACUAUGUGUUCAUUUUUAUUUUCACAGAGUUUCCUUCUUUUCUUCUGUAUUUGAAAGACAAUAAAGACCUCAGAUACCAUCACAGCUGUUAUGGGUCUCCAGAAUAUCUACAUUUCAGUCUCUAGUAUGGUGAUAUCUAAAAGGUAUUGGCUGGGAACCUGUAUGGCUGUGUCCUCAUCAGUAUGCACCAUGUUGUGAAUAUUAACUUUUUUUUUUCUUUCAGGGAAUAUAUUUUUUGUUUGUUCCCCCUCCCCCUUUUUUUCACUUCCUGGGACUUAAGCUGAUGAAGUGCUGUAAAUCUCACUUUGUGUUUUAAGACACUAAGCCAGACAAAUAAUUUUAACAAGACAAACCAAGUCCGUCACAAAUAAAGAAGGAAAUAAAAAAUAGAAAAAAAAGCCAAACCUUUAGAAGUUCUGCAUUUGCUCUCCUGACCCUUGCAUCAGCAGUGGAGGUCCUGUCUGAGCACCAUCAAGCACUCUCUAAGUCUGUGUUCCAAAGAGCAGAGUGAAGCAUAAAUUCUACGAAGAAAGCAAGCAAGCCUGUGUAACUGACUGAAGAUCCAUCUUGGAAAGCAGUUAAUGCUUCUGGAUGUUUAAGAUGACAAAUCGGUGCUCUUCAUAAAAGAAGCAGUAGUACCUGCCUCGUGAAAGUUACACAACGAAAUCUGCAGGCUGCACAAGAAGAUCGUGCAGUGCCUUGGAUGUAAGCAUCUCUCCUGCUGGCUGGGUAAACAUGGGAUAAACAUGGGAUUGCUGCUGCCUGCCUGCUGUGGCUGUCUCUUCUGCCCCACCAGGCUGCUACAGAGACAGUGCAAUCCACUUUCCAUGUUCAGUUAUUAUACUAGAACCUCAGAUGGACGACUAAUCUGAUGCACAAACAGGCCCCAGGAGUUCAGGCUGUUGAAGGUGAUUUUAUAACACCGACUUAGGACCCAGCUGCAUGGCUAAUGCACUCCAAUGAAGCAGUGAGCUGGUGGAAUUCCUGAAGAGCCACAAUCAACUCCUGCUGAGAGGUUCUGCUUCCCUCUGCUUCCUGGCAUAUGGGGCAUGAAUGUAUAUUGUGGCUUUUAGCCAUAUGAAGUUUUGGGUAUACAGCUCACACAGGUGUCUAUUCACCAAAAGGAGGCUGAUUCUGCAAUUGUGCCAAAAAGCUGCAUCACCAGAACUUCAGUGAAUCUUGAGCUGUUCACUGUUUGCAGGAGCAGAGACUGCCUUCCCAGAUUUUCUCUUCUAUAGAGAAGGAAAACAGCAUUUUCAGGGGACUGUAACCAUAUGCUCAACAUACUGUUUAAGAGGUACCUAUCAUCUGUGAAGAGUCCAAUCUGCUGGAAUCAUAACCUGAAGAAUGAGCUAACACCAGCACCCUCCCACCCUCCCUCUUCUUUUUAUCUGUCUCUGCAUGGGAAGUCUCCUAAAUGGUCAACAUUUCUCAUCUGUGAAACUCACUUUCUGUUUGGCUAUCACCUACCAUGGUCUACCACCUGGUGCUGCUUUUGAUGGAGAUCCUAAAAUUAAAUUACUGCUGCUUUUUUGUGAGAGAGCUUUACAACUUAAGUGCUUAAAACACCCAUAGAUAAUCAGUAGACGAAUAUGAGACAAUUAUUGCUUCGUUCAGAAACAUGAAGAAGUACUUUUAUCAACUCCCACAUGGCAAGGAGCACAGCAAGGUUCAUCUUCCAUGUAUUAAUCCAUAUAUAACCUCAGUGCUCAGAAGAAUUUGUGCCUUUACUUUGACUUUCAUCAUGUGAUCUAAAAGCUCCUUGAUGGGAGUAUCAAGAUACCAGGAAAAAAGAAUCAAAAUUUGACAUUCUUCUGUAAACUUCAAUGCAGAAAGUAGCAGAUGGCUUGGGGAGGUCUAGUCCAAUUCACGUGAGACUGGAAAGGUGCUGUCUCUGGCUUGGAGCUGUCAGCUUCAGGCAAGUUCAGGCACUGACACCUUGAGCCUUGAUCCUUGGUGAAACCUAGCACCCAUAAACCCCACUAUGCUCGUGGUAUCCUCAGAGGAACAGGCAGCCAGAGCUUAGAAAUAUGUUUCAAUCAUUUAAUGAGUUUGAAACACUCUUGAAAAAAGCCCUUGCUAUUAGGCUCAAAUCAUAACAGUUAUGAAAAUGAAUACAAGUUUCUUUACACUAACCUCAGAUCUGUCCAACCAAAAAAAAAAAAUACUGCUGCUUUUAAUCUAAAGUGAAUAAUUAAUGUUUUAGUUUAAGGAAUUAAAAGAGUAUAGAUCAUUAUCUACUUUUAUCCAUAUAAGUAUUAUACAUUUAAAGGGGGUGGUAGCAAAAAAAAAAAAAGUUGUUUAGGGAGAGUUUAUUCCUCUGGUUCGACUUUUUUUUAAUGACUUCAUUGAAAGUGUCAACAUUUCUGGUAUCAGGAAGUGCAAUUGUAAAGUAACAAAGUGGAGAUAAAUUGAGAUGUAAAAGAAUGCUACUUGGUAAGAAGCAUUAGGUCAAAGGUCUGAUCUAUUUGAAUGGCAAACUGCUGCACGUGUUUUCAUCCAGUAUCUCAGGAUCAAUUUACUUGCAUUCUGUUUUGAUGCAUCUAGACUUCGACAUACCCAAGAGAUGCAUCUUAUUAUACAAAGCUGAAAAGGAAUUAGGAGUCAUACAGUUAUUACUAUCGGGGUCCUGAAUCUGCCUCUGGGAGGUUGAUGCUUAGCAUAGAUGGAACCCAGAUAUGUUUUUCUAGGUGUAUAUGGCAACCUGCUGAUUGCUGUCUCACCAGAAUAAACUCUAAACCUUUCCAGCUGUUCUUAAUCUGGACCCUUAACCUUUAGAAAAACCAGAGGCUUUCCAUUCCUCAGAGCCAAACUUUGCUAACAAUAUCUAGGUUGUUUUCAAACUAAGCUUCAAACAUAAAAAUGACUAAUAAAUCCAUUUUCCAUAAUAGUUAGGCUGGAAAACUAUUAUUUAAUAACAGACUCAGUUUUUACGACCCAUUUCUAAUAAAAAUCCCAAGUAUGCUUCACUAAUGCUACCAUUUCAGAUACUCAGAUCCUGGAUGAUAGACAGGAGAUCCAGAUAGAUACACCAAUAAAUAUGUAAAGGCUAUAAAUCUGUCUCAAAUUAGUGAUUUGUGGAUGCGUGAGGGGGAAGAGAGCUGGGAAAUUCUGUUUUCUAAUCUGUUCACUUCCUGAGUCUUAAUGUCCUGUAACUUCACAGCUGCUGAUUGUAUUUUUCUGUGGCUUGUAUUAUUAAGUGCUAAAUACAUUACUCCAUGCUCUUCGGUGGGACCUGGGGCUUUGCACAGGCUUUUAGUCUGCACCUGA